rnacentral:rRNA from 1 species
UACGUAGGGUGCGAGCGUUAAUCGGAAUUACUGGGCGUAAAGCGUGCGCAGGUGGUUUGUUAAGUCAGAUGUGAAAGCCCUGGGCUUAACCUAGGAAUUGCGUUUGAAACUGGCGAGCUAGAGUCUGUCAGAGGGGGGUAGAAUUCCACGUGUAGCAGUGAAAUGCGUAGAGAUGUGGAGGAAUACCAAUGGCGAAGGCAGCCCCCUGGGGUAAGACUGACGCUCAUGCACGAAAGCGUGGGGAGCAAACAGGAUUAGAUACCCUGGUAGUCCACGCCCUAAACGAUGUCAACUGGUUAGUUGGGCAACUUGAUUGUUACAGUAACGAAGCUAACGCGAGAAGUUGACCGCCUGGGGAGUACGGUCGCAAGAUUAAAACCU